CCGGCUGGGAGCGCUGGCUGGGCGACUGAGUUACCUAGGUAACAGCGGCAGAGGCGGGCCUGACGUCACGGGCGGCGCGCCUCCGCACUGCGGCACUGGGCUGGCUGGACCGUGUGCGUCGCCAGCGGUUGAGCCGGCGGAGCUGUUGCCUCCUUUGCCUAGGCGCAGGGAGCCGCUUCGCGCGGCCGGGCUGUCCCUCCUCUCCCCUGUUACCUUCAAAGUAAUCUUCUGGCUACCUUAGAACUAGAAUUAACACUAAUAACCUAGAGAAGUGAGCAGCACGUGAAGAUUCAGCGGAUAAUGUUAGUGUAGAGCCAGGCAAGCAAGAAAAGCCAAAUAAACGUUACCCAGAUCACACAGGAAAUGGAACCAGAAACUCCAGAAAAGGUGGAUUCUGCACAGGAGAAAGUCAGAGGCAAGUCCCAGCCAGCAGGUGAUUCAGAUGACGGCCAAGAAAAGGCUGGGACAGAAGGGAAAGGAGAACUGACCGAAGCCUAUCAGCUGCAGGUAGCUGAAGAAAUGGCCAAGGAGAUCAAGAAGAAAAUACGAAAGAAGCUAAAGGAGCAGCUAACCUACUUUCCUCCCGACACUCUAUUGCAUGACGACAAGCUGGGCAGUGAAAAAAGAAAGAAGAAGAAGAAGAAAGUCCCGGUGCCAGCUAAGCCUGAGACAAGUCCCUCAGAUGUCUGUAACAGUGCAGUUGAAGGUGAACAGAAGAAAGAAGGUGCCCCUGAAGGAUCUCACCCCAUGGAGGGAACACACUCCACAGACCAGGAUGCGGAUGCCAGUGUGCCAGAGAACACAAAGCCCAAACCCAAAAAGACAAAGAAGAAGGCGAAAGCAGUUUCAGAGGAUAAUGAAGAGACAAAUGGAGAUGGUGUUCAUGAGAUAACAAGCCGAGACAGUCCAGUUCACCCCAAGUGUUUGCUUGAUGAUGAUCUUGUCAUGGGAGUCUACAUUCACCGUACUGAUCGGCUUAAAUCUGACUUUAUGAUUUCUCACCCAAUGGUAAAGAUCCAUGUGGUUGAUGAACACACUGGCCAGUAUGUCAAGAAAGAUGACAGUGAACGUCCUGUUUCCUCUUACUAUGAGAAAGACAAUGUGGACUAUAUUCUCCCUAUUAUGACGCAGCCAUAUGACUUUAAAAAGCUAAAGUCAAGGCUUCCGGAGUGGGAGGAGCAAGUUAUUUUUAAUGAAAAUUUUCCCUAUUUGCUUCGAGAGUUUGAUGAGUGUCCAAAAGUCAUUCUGUUCUUUGAGAUUCUUGACUUUUUAAGCAUGGAUGAAAUCAAGAAUAACUCUGAGGUUCAAAACCAAGAAUGUGGCUUUCGAAAAAUUGCCUGGGCAUUUCUUAAGCUUCUGGGAGCCAAUGGAAAUGCAAACAUCAACUCAAAACUUCGGCUGCAGCUCUACUACCCACCUACUAAGCCUCGAUCCCAGCUAAAUGUUGUUGAGGUGUUUGAAUGGUGGUCCAAGUGUCCAAGAAACCGUUAUCCAUCAACCUUGUAUGUAACUGUACGAGGAUUGAAAGUCCCAGACUGUAUAAGGCCGUCAUACCGCUCUAUGGUGGCUCUCCAGGAGGAAAGGGGCACACCAGUGUACUGUGAACGCCACCGUGACACAAGUUCCGUGGACACGGAACCUGGACUAGAGGAUUCAAAGGAGGAGGUAAAGUGGAAACGUCUGCCCGGCCAGGCCUGUCGUAUCCCAAACAAGCAUCUCUUCUCACUAAACGCUGGAGAACGAGGCUGUUUUUGUCUUGAUUUCUCCCACAAUGGAAGAAUAUUAGCAGCAGCCUGUGCCAGCCGAGACGGAUAUCCGAUUCUAUUAUAUGAAAUUCCUUCUGGACGUUUCAUGAGAGAAUUGUGUGGCCACCUCAAUAUCAUUUAUGACCUCGAUUGGUCAAAAGAUGACCGCUAUCUCGUUACUUCAUCCUCUGACGGCACUGCCAGGGUUUGGAAGAAUGAAAUCAACAGCACAAACACAUUCCGAGUCUUACCUCACCCUUCCUUCGUCUACACGGCUAAAUUCCACCCAGCCACACGAGAGCUGGUGGUUACUGGAUGCUACGACUCUGUGAUACGGAUAUGGAAAAUUGACGCAAGGGAGGACGCUGCCAUAUUAGUGCGUCAGCUGGAUGUGCACAAGAGCUUUGUCAACUCAAUCUGCUUUGAUGAUGAAGGUCACCACAUGUACUCAGGAGACUGCAUCGGGGUUAUCGUUGUCUGGGACACGUACGUCAAGGUGACUGACGUGCAACACUCCGUGCGCCAUUGGUCGAUAAAUAAGGAAAUUAAGGAAACUGAAUUCAGGGGAGUUCCAAUAACUUACCUGGAGGUUCAUCCCAAUGGAAAGCGUUUAUUAAUCCACACCAAAGACAGUACACUGAGGAUCAUGGAUCUGCGUAUAUUGGCAGCCAGGAAAUUUGUGGGUGCAGCAAAUUACCGGGAGAAGAUUCACAGCACUUUGACACCGUGCGGGACUCUGCUCUUUUCUGGGAGUGAGGAUGGGAUAGUGUAUGUUUGGAGCCCAGAGACAGGAGAACAAGUGGCGAUGUAUUCUGACCUGCCAUUCAAGUCAACUAUUCGAGACAUCUCUUACCAUCCAUUGGAGAACAUGGUUGCAUUUUGUGCCUUUGGACAGAGUGAGCCGAUUCUUCUGUAUAUUUAUGAUUUCCAGGUAGCCCAGCAGGAAGCUGAAAUGUUGAAACGCUAUAGUGGGACACUCCCGUUGCCUGGGAUACAUCAGAGUGAGGAUGCUUUAUGCACCUGUCCUAAACUGCCCCAACAGGGCUCUUUUCAGAUUGAUGAAUUUGUCAACACCGAAAAUAAUUCAUCAAGAAAGAUUCAACUUGUGAAACAGAGACUCGAAACUGUCACAGAGGUGAUACGAUCCUGUGCUGCAAAAGUCAACAAAAAUCUCUCAAUGACUUCGCCACCACCAGGCCCCGCAAAGAAGCCAAGGGUGAAACAGUCGUUCGUGCUGACCACUGAUGAGAUUAUACAUCAGUUUGGACUCCCUCAGACGGCAUUUAUCAGCAUAGAAAGAGAGCCUUUUGUGCAACAAGUUGAUCCACCACCAAUGGUAGUGGCUCUUUAUGACUACACAGCGAGCCGAUCAGAUGAACUAACCAUCCAUCGUGGAGACAUUAUCCGAGUGUUUUUCAAAGAUAAUGAAGACUGGUGGUACGGCAGCUUAGGAAAGGGGCAGGAAGGGUUCUUUCCAGCUAAUCAUGUGGCCAGUGAAACACUGUAUCGAGACACGCCUCCAAAGGUAAAGGAGCGUUCCCCUCCUUUAACUCCCAAGGAGAAAACAAGAGCAGGAAAGCCUCCAGCUUCUCAGAAGGGUGUCCAUGAAGAGGAAACGAAGUCACAAAACAACUGAGAGCAGCAGGCGCUCAGUAAGGACAGGCCCCUGGAUUCCAGACUGGGCUCACAGUCUGUGGAGCACUCUGAGAAGGGCAAAGAUCAAAACUUGGAGGACCGAGGACACAAAGCGGAUAUGGAGAUGAAGAAAAGUGAGCCGAUGGUCCGCAAAGUCACCCUGAUAGAGUAAAAAGCUGGAAAAGAAAAAAGCAGCAGCCCGAUGAGCGCACGUGACACGAAAUCCACGCCAUGCGUAUUUCUCUUUAGAUUUUGGAUGAAAAGAAGCAGUAUUUAUUGACCUUAUGAAAAACCUGAAGCAACGUUAGCUCUAAAAAAAAAAUCACUGUGGCCGUUGGGCUCAAUUGUUAUAAACCCUGUGAGUGUUACUGGUCAAAGUGUUCUACUUGUGCUACUAGUAACCGUAUCAGAAUUAGAGUGCUGUUGCUGCUGGAAAAAACAGUAAAGCAAGCCCCAGAACUGCCGCCCAGGACGUGUGAGUAACUGUGUGCAGUGUUAGUCAUUGACUAAGUCAUCACCCCGUGUGGCUAUGGCCGUGACGUGGCUGUGUCGUAAGCCAUCAUCCCAUGUGCCCGUGACUGUGAUGCUCUCUGCUCAGAGUGCAGAGAGUCUGCUUUUGAAGUUAACUGUGUGUAAAACACAAGUAGCUUCUGGAUAUUGUGUAUUCACACAGCCCCAGUAACAAAAGCAUUAAAAGAGACAGUUUGCUUUUAAGAGCUAAAUGUUUAUGUUGCCCAUGGAUGAAUUAAUUAUAUGUGUAAUUCAACACACCUGAACUAAGAAUGAUUUUGGCUGCACUGGCGACAGUAUACCAAAUGUAUUGUUAUUUUUUAAAACAGUUCAUAUUUAAGAAUAUAAGUAACUUAUGGGUGUAAACUGUUUAAUGGUUGUUUUAGUCUGAAGUUUGGUUUUAAAUUAUUACACAGCAUUAUUUAUGCCUUUAUUUCCAGAACAGCCAUGCCAUUGCCAUAUGGCCGUAGGUUGCAGUUGGCUAGAACAGUGUAACUCCUCCAUCCUGGUUUUCUCUUGACUCUUCCCUUUCUUCAGCUGCACGAGAAGUCUGUCAGUAAAGCAUUUAACCCCAACAAGGUCAAACCUGUGGUAAAGUUACAAAAACUUAUUUACCGAAUCAGACAAUUGAUCUCAUUGAAAUAAGAAGUGAGAAACACUGUGUUGAGCACUGAGGUGUAAACGUGUCCAGAUGUGCCGAUAGCUUCUAGUACAGAUGUCUUUGCCUCUUAUCCCUGCACAUGUUGUAGAAGCUUAAAAUGGUAAACAUGGCCCUGCCGUGCAGAACCUUUAUAGAAUUGUUGUCAUUACAAAAAGGAGGUCUCCAGUGCAUACAGGGUGACACUAAAAGCCGCUUAAGCCCACAGCCCUCAGCACCAAAGUCUCUUGUGCCAGUGCCAUUAUUGUGGUUGUGUGUGUCCGUGCUCCCGGUGCACUUGGGCUGGCAGCUGAGUCACUCUGAACAUGCUUCUUUUCCGUCUUGUGAGUGUACUGCUUGAGACAAUUACAAAAUAAAGGUGUGUUCCUACUAUUUCA